rnacentral:rRNA from 1 species
UAGGGAAUCUUCCACAAUGGGCGGAAAGCCUGAUGGAGCAACGCCGCGUGUGUGAUGAAGGGUUUCGGCUCGUAAAACACUGUUGUAAGAGAAGAAUGACAUUGAGAGUAACUGUUCAAUGUGUGACGGUAUCUUACCAGAAAGGAACGGCUAAAUACGUGCCUG